rnacentral:lncRNA from 1 species
UGAGCCAGCUCGGUGCGCAAUAUGGGGUCCGGGUGAAUAAGUAUCGGCGCCCGCGACCGUAGGGAUUUUUGGAGCGAAAAAUAAGGGGAGGUCUAGCCGCCGGUUAGUGAGCGACACCUCGGUGGGCGAAAGAGGGUGUGCCACCGCCACACCAUUGCGCCUCUCGACAUCGCUCUGCCCCCGAUAUUGCGUCUAGGAGUGCGGCAGGGAUCCUGAUUGCGUGUGCGUCGAGAAUCAGGAUGGUUGGGCGCUCCGGGACUUGGCGAUUGCUCGUCGGAAUUCGUCUCCCCUUGUCAAACUGUGGCAACCGUGGAUGCCUCAGGCCAACACCCUAAUUCAUGGUAAUGAUAGCCUCUUUGGAUUUCCCAUACUUCCCUCACUGUUUUUCAUUCCGCCACAUCCGCGUAAGAGCUCCGAAACGGGCAAAUUGCAUGCGCGGGGGUCACACCUGCCGCUGACCACAAUGGGCGCCGCCGUGGUGUGCUCGAUUGGGGAAGGGGAUGUUAGGGUCGGGUCAUGCACUGUCGGAUCGGGCAUCGAUGGCUCGGAUUAGAAAGGUGUUACCGAUUCAGUGGUAACGAAUCUAGGGCGUUGAUGGCAGAUUGGGCGACCCACAUUGGUUCGGGUAAAAUAAAAUCCAGACCGUCCACAUCUGAUCCUAGGGCCCCUGUUUAGUGCCGAUUCAGGUUAUGUUGUUUCUAAUCUGGUUUGUCGGUUUGUGAUCGGACGAAUGAUAUCGGCCGAUACCCCUUCGGCCGGUGGUUUUGCAAAGUAGACCUUGUGAAAAACAGAAAUAAACUCGCCAUCCAUCACGAGUUAGAUCUGAGUCUAAGGAAAUUUUAUAAUUUAGCCCCUGAGAUUCUCUCUUUUUGGCGCGCAGUCCAGAGACCAGAGAAAUCAGAUAAGUAAUUAUAGAAAUUGAUUUUUAGUAUAUAAAUAAUUCUAGAAACUUGUAUAACUCAUAUCUAAUUCAUUUUAACUCCAAAUUGAUCCAUUCUAGUGGCAUUAAUUUUGUUUUAAUAUUGCUUAUCACCUAGUAACUCUGUUUUGCCAUGAAAUUUGGAGUAAAAUUAUUCACUUGAAUUAUUCUAUACUAGGCACAUAAUAACUUCAGAAAAUUAUAACUUAAAAUCCGUAACUCCGAACUUAGUGAUUCUUAUUCCUAUGAUCUUGUUACGAUUCAUAAAUUAUUAUUAUGUAUUCUGUAUUCAUGUUUGGUGUGAUAUUAAUUUAUCCCUUGUACCAUGCUUGUUUGUAUUGUGACGAGUAGAAGAGCUAGUGGCCAAGGAUUCCGGUGUUCAGCAGGUAGAAGUUGCUGAGCAGGAGCUCAUUGAAGGCAAGUUGUGCCCUUGACCAUUUUUAUUUACCCAAUAAUGUUCUCUAUAAUCAUUUUAUCAUGCAUAGUCUUAAUUUUGAUGAGACCCAAUGGUUCAACCCUAGUCUGGUUAUCUUUUCACCUUGUUUACCCCUGAAUUUUUGGGUAGUCAAUGCUAUUGCUAUACCUGGUUUUGGGUGUUGAGAUAACAAUUACACAUGAUUGUUCUUUAUUAUUGUUCUAUUUCUGUUCAUGAUAAGACAACUAUGUAAAUUGGAACAUCGAGCUUAACUUGAGAAACACGUGCCACCACAAGGGUGGAAUGGGACGCCCUUGGCUAACUAACUAGGAAAGCUAGUGGAGGACUACCUUACCUGAUAGGGGCAAGGGCAGUAGGAGUAGGCAUGUAGGGAGGUUCCUGGGUUGAUUUUGCUGCGAUGGCGGUCAGACGGGGGAUUCCUGCAUUGCUCUUCCUAGAAACUGUAGCGGGUUUUCUGAAGCUAGUGGAACUUUGCAAAGGCCUCGUAGUGGAUCCCUAGCCAUUCACCUCGACAGUGUCUAAGGGCCUUGCAAACCUAGGCAACAUGGUAUACACGACUUGUGGGUACAGGGUACAGCCUCUGUAGAGUGUAAAACUGGUAUACUAGCCGUGCUUGCGGUCAUAAGCAGCUCAUGACUCUCGCGUGAUUAAUUUAUGUAAUUAAAUUCAAUUUAUCAUUUGCAUUGCAUGGGAUUUAUUAUUAAUUUUGAUCUACUAUUACGCUAGUUUGGUAUCUACUUACAUUUAGUAAUUACUAAUAAAACUUGACCAACUUAUUAAAAGCAAUGCUCAACUUUACCCCUUAUUUAUUGAUUAGCCUUACACUUCACAUGAGCUCCCACCUUUGGUGAGUUCAUGCACAUUAUUCCCCACAACUUGUUGAGCUAUGAUCUUUUGUGAGCUCACACUUGUGAUAUAUAAAACCCCCCAUAGGAGAAGAGCAGGUGGUCCAGGAGGAGCCGCCCUAUAAUGAAGAAUACGAGUUGAUCUAGGUGGCGUCUCCCAGUCAGUUGUAUGGCGCCAAGGAUGGACGUUUAAUUCGCUUUAUUAUUAUCAUUUAUUUUUGUAAGACUUCCGCUAUGUAAUAAUGACAUUUAUGAUAUUUGUGACAUUUAUCUCUAUACACUUUGUAAUUAUAUGUGUUGUUCUUCUUUGGCG